UGGGUAAUAUUGGACAAUGGGCGAAAGCCUGAUCCAGCCAUGCCGCGUGUGUGAAGAAGGUCUUCGGAUUGUAAAGCACUUUAAGUUGGGAGGAAGGGCAGUAAGCGAAUACCUUGCUGUUUUGACGUUACCGACAGAAUAAGCACCGGCUAACUCUGUGCCAGCAGCCGCGGUAAUACAGAGGGUGCAAGCGUUAAUCGGAUUUACUGGGCGUAAAGCGUGCGUAGGCGGCUAAUUGAGUCGGAUGUGAAAUCCCCGAGCUUAACUUGGGAAUUGCAUUCGAUACUGGUUAGCUAGAGUGUGGGAGAGGAUGGUAGAAUUCCAGGUGUAGCGGUGAAAUGCGUAGAGAUCUGGAGGAAUACCGAUGGCGAAGGCAGCCAUCUGGCCUAACACUGACGCUGAGGUACGAAAGCAUGGGGAGCAAACAGG
rnacentral:rRNA from 1 species